UGCGGGGUGGGGACGCUGGGCCCUAGCGCUCCCCAGUCCUCCGCCCCACGGAGGUGGCCUCGCUCGGGUCUGGGAGGGAACCGAGACCUGGACCCUCCCCCACCCCCUCCGCCAGGGCCGAGGCUAAUGGUGCAUGUGAUGUUCUUCGGGACUCUUUGAUCCACGUUCAGACCGUAGGAGAUGAACCUGGAGACAGAAGUUCGGCUUCCCCUGGCUGAGAGGUGCCCUAAAGGAGGAGCAUGAUGGCGUCCUCCGCUGCGGCUAGGUCCUUUUCCUCCACACAUCUGUUGGAGUGGGGAAUAUUUAGUGAUACUGAGGCCACUUUAACAGCAGCGUGAGAUCCAGACGACCACGACAGAAGGACCCCCCUGGAGAAGAGCAGGAAUAAAAAUGGAAGGACGAAACCAGACGUGGCGUCUGUCGGCAAGUCCAGUUACAGGAAAAGCUGGGGACAGCCUGUCCGAGAACGAACCCACUAUAGAGGAAAACAAAGCCAAGAGAUGAAGAAAGGCAAAGAUCCUGAAACUGCUGUUUGCAUCCAGCUCGUCCAAAGCCAGCCAGAGUUCUGGACUGUUCUUCA